CAGCUCUAGUCACACCUCCCAGCAUGUGAAUUGCACAGCCUUCGUAAACACGUCCUGUAAGGUGAGAUCUAAUGUUUAAACUUCCUUUAUUGCACAUUCUGUUAAUUUAGCAUUUCAUGUCUAUGCUCUUCUAGAUCCUGCAGGAGCAUCCUGUGUAUGAUUAAAGUUCAAUUUACAGUGCAGGAUAUACAAACUUCUAAAUUGAAAAUUAAACUUUUUUCCCUCACACAUGCUGUAGGUCACAGCUGGACAGGUUU